GCCCCGGUGGUGAAAUUGGCAGACACGCUAGACUUAGGAUCUAGUGCGCAAGCGUGGGGGUUCAAGUCCCUCCCGGGGCACCA
rnacentral:tRNA from 1 species